rnacentral:rRNA from 1 species
GACGAACGCUGGCGGCGUGCCUAAUACAUGCAAGUCGAACGCACAGUUUAUACCGUAGCUUGCUACACUAUAGACUGUGAGUUGCGAACGGGUGAGUAACGCGUAGGUAACCUGCCUGGUAGCGGGGGAUAACUAUUGGAAACGAUAGCUAAUACCGCAUAAUAUUAAUUAUUGCAUGAUAAUUAAUUGAAAGGUGCAAUUGCACCACUACCAGAUGGACCUGCGUUGUAUUAGCUAGUAGGUGAGGUAACGGCUCACCUAGGCGACGAUACAUAGCCGACCUGAGAGGGUGAUCGGCCACGCUGGGACUGGAACACGGCCCAGACUCCUACGGGAGGCAGCAGUAGGGGAUCUUCGGCAAUGGACGAAAGUCUGACCGAGCAACGCCGCGUGAGUGAAGAAGGUAUUCGGAUCGUAAAGCUCUGUUGUAAGAGAAGAACGGGUGUGUGAGUGGAAAGUUCACACUGUGACGGUAUCUUACCAGAAAGGGACGGCUAACUACGUG